rnacentral:rRNA from 1 species
GGCGAACAUUGGCGGUAGGCUUAACACAUGCAAGUCGAGCGAGGCGUAAUAGUCGAGCGGCGAACGGGUGAGUAAUACAUGGAAAUCUACCCUGAAGUGGGGGAUAACGUUCAGAAAUGGACGCUAAUACCGCAUAAUCCAUAUUGGGAAAGCGUUGCAGCGCUUUAGGAUGAGUCCAUGGCUGAUUAGCUAGUUGGUGAGGUAAUGGCUCACCAAGGCGAUGAUCAGUAGCUGGUCUGAGAGGAUGACCAGCCACACUGGAACUGAGACACGGUCCAGACUCCUACGGGAGGCAGCAGUGGGGAAUCUUGCGCAAUGGGGGCAACCCUGACGCAGCCAUACCGCGUGAGUGAUGAAGGUCUUCGGAUUGUAAAGCUCUUUCGGCGGGGACGACGAUGACGGUACCCGCAAAAGAAGUCACGGCUAACUUCGUGCCAGCAGCCGCCGUAA